CUGACCUUUAGUGAUUUCCUGGAAUUAUCUUGCUUUAAAAAUACCAACUCCUCCCCACCACCUUUGUUUUUAAGAAGAAAAGAGGGAGCACAUUUUCUGCUGCUCAGACACAAAACCUACUAGAAUCAAUGUGAUUUUAGGUCUUUGGAAAUAUUUAUUAUGGAAAUAGGUGUAUGAACCGUGCUGCCAGCCUGUGCAAGAAGUCCUCUAUGUGCUUCUGCAGUGCGGUACUACUUUUGCUAGAGCAAGAAUGCAGCACAUGGUGACCUCUUCUGCAAAGGUGGGAUAGCACUGCCAGCUUCAGAGCUUGAAUGAUGGAGCUAUCUGUUAUUGU
rnacentral:lncRNA from 1 species